UGGUCAGGUAGAGAAUACCAAGGCGCUUGAGAGAACUCGGGUGAAGGAACUAGGCAAAAUGGUGCCGUAACUUCGGGAGAAGGCACGCUGACAUGUAGGUGAAGUGAUUUACUCAUGGAGCUGAAGUCAGUCGAAGAUACCAGCUGGCUGCAACUGUUUAUUAAAAACACAGCACUGUGCAAACACGAAAGUGGACGUAUACGGUGUGA
rnacentral:rRNA from 1 species